rnacentral:piRNA from 1 species
UCACUACUGUUCUAGUUUCUGGGGAUC